UACGAGGGGGGCAAGCGUUGUUCGGAAUUACUGGGCGUAAAGCGUGCGUAGGUGGUGAGUUAAGUCUGAUGUGAAAUCCCCGGGCUCAACCUGGGAAUGGCAUUGGAUACUGGCUCGCUAGAGUGCGGUAGAGGGUGGUGGAAUUCCCGGUGUAGCAGUGAAAUGCGUAGAGAUCGGGAGGAACAUCUGUGGCGAAGGCGGCCACCUGGACCAACACUGACACUGAGGCACGAAAGCGUGGGGAGCAAACAGG
rnacentral:rRNA from 1 species